AAUGGGCGAUAUCUUUUUGCGCCAAAAAGUAACUCAUUUGCGCCACAACUUAUUUGCGCCAAUACUUCUUUUGCGCCAACUAAUUUUCAAAACCAUAGGUAUCAUUUGCGCCAAUAAAAUAAUCAUCUAAUUGCGCCAAUUCUAUUUAUUUUUAUUCAUAUAUAACAACUAAAUGAUUGACUAGGUACCAUCAGCAAACAAUCCUCUUACAUUGUACAAAGAAAUUUUAAAUAAGCCUCGCAUCCUAAUAAAAACAUCCCGCUUUCUGGAUCGUUACACAAUACAAAGUCAUCAUCUUUGUUUGUAACAACACCAAUAUCAUCCAAUAUUGUGUGAAAUUCUUC
rnacentral:lncRNA from 1 species